AUUGAAAAGGGUUACCAUUCCAUCAAAUACAAUAUCUGUGAAUGGAAGGUCAAGACUCAGCCAUUCCAUGUCCCCUGAUGCCCAGGACGGCCAUUAAAUGUUACCCUGCCACACCACUGCACUUCACUUCCACUUCAGACCAACUUCAUACUAAUGGAACAUUUUGGCAAAUGUAUAUUCAGAUGUACACUAAUAUAUUAUCUAUUAAAAUAUUAGAAUUUGUGUUGUGGCUUUUAAUGCCAGAAGAAAAGUUACCAGAAUUUAUAAUUUAUAGUAAUUUUUUGAUCUUUUUUUUGCCUUAAGAGUUGAAUAUGCUGCUUUAGAACUUUAAAACAAGGUGUAAAUGAUUUUCAUUUUUUACAAAUGAAAAAUAAUUCCUUUGUAUUGAUUUCACUUACCAGCACAUUCUCUACAAUGGUGACUUAGACAAAAGUAUAAGAUUCAUAGACUUUAUAUUUGUAUGACAUACAACUAGGACAAACAUAGAUAUGACAUUUGCUGCCUCAGUGUAGCAAUUGGAAAUAUUUAUAAGUUAUAUGAAAGCCUGUUUUGGGCUGAAAGAAUGAUUUAGAAAACUAGUGAUACCAAAUAAGUAUAUUCAGUUCAAUAAUUAUUUUCAAUGAUGAAUCACUUAGUGUGAAAGACUUGCCUUGUGUAUUCUUUAUGUAAUUACAAAUCACUGUCAAUUUUAUGGGAAGCUCAUAGUAUUUUAAUAUUUUAUUAACAUGGAACUCUUGUUUUUUUAAUCUUUAGAACUUAAAUUCUACAAGAAUUUUAAAUAUUUUCUGUAUAUAAUUAUGACAUUGUCACACAGAAAUUACACAUUUUAUGUGCCAGAAGCCUUAAACAUCUUUCUGUGAAAAUGCUGAUAUAUUGUGACAGUUAUUUCACAUUUGAUAUGUAGAGAGGAAUAGGGGUUAGUUUAUGUUUAUAUUGAAAAACUUUAAAGACUAUUUGGAAGUUCCAGAAAUUCUGGUUUUAAUUCAAGUAAAAUGAUAAAAUAGUCAUUAUAUAGUUCAGAUGCUAAUAUUCUAAGUAAUAAUAUAUAUUUACAUUGAAGCUAAAACUGUUAAGCAAAACAAUGCCCAUUUGUCGGCUUACAGCUCUUCCGGAGUCUAGAGCCUGUUGGUGUUCUGUCCCUACUUUAAGAAUUUAAUUGCUCACUUAUUCUGAAAGCUUUGUUCAAACAAGAUGAUAUUAAAUUUGUUUUCACUAAAACUACUGGGAUAUCUGCCUCUUGGGGAUUUUUUUUUCAAUUUAAUAAAAGC
rnacentral:lncRNA from 1 species